UAACCGAAUAGGGGAGCCGUAGAGAAAUCGAGUCUUAAUAGGGCGUUUAGUUGCUGGGUAUAGACCCGAAACCAGGCGAUCUAUCCAUGGGCAGGUUGAAGGUUGGGUAACACUAACUGGAGGACCGAACCCACUGUCUUUGAAAAGCCAGGGGAUGACUUGUGGAUAGGGGUGAAAGGCUAAUCAAACUCGGUGAUAGCUGGUUCUCCCCGAAAGCUAUUUAGGUAGCGCCU
rnacentral:rRNA from 1 species